CUGGCAUCAAUAAUAUUUCCCAUUGGAUUUGGUAGUCCAGAGGUCGGAGGAAUGCCAUUCAAAUUGCCUCCUAACAACUCUCUUGGUUCCUCCUACGUUUGUUUCAUCCUCGCAAUUCUCUUUACAUUGUUUGGAGAGCUCUGUAUGAGGAAAGGUCACUCUGUUGGGAUGUAAGACGGUUGAUUUAUCAAGAAGGUUUUGCACAAACAUGCACAAGAAGUAACGGUUUUUCUCUCUUUGUGUUAUAUAAUACAUAAGCCGAAUGAGAGUUUAAGGAUGCACCAGAUAUUAUAUCUGGCCGGAUAGUGAGAUUUUCAUUAUCCGGCUGGAUAUGUAAGAUAUCCAACUGGAUACCCGAUAUUAGAGAGGUUAAGAUAUAUACCCCGGUUUACGGGUACGGAUGAUAUACACUUACUCGUACACGUAAAUCCGGGAACGACUUGUGACUUAAAGGGAUACGGUAAUAUAUUUUUUUAUUAUUUCAUUUGGAAGAACUUUUAAAAUUAUAUGUUAAUCUCUUUUACCGAUUUUGCGUAACUUUAUUAUUUCUUGAGAUAUUUGAACAGAAAAAAUAACAAAUCAGCGAGCUUUCCGCCAUCUUGGAUUUUGGCGGAUAUGCAUGUGACAUCAUAAGCAGGGUCACGCAAGAAUUUUAUCCAUAGAGCAAUUGGUUAUUAUGAGCCCAAAAUCAUAGACUUCAGUAACUAUUUGAAAUAAAAAACUGUCUGACGACUUUUCAAACAAGACUUAAUGUUAAUUGGUCAUUUAGAUGUAGUUUUAUAUGGCUUACCCUGCUUAUGACGUCACUAAAAUCACCGAUAAUGAGAUAAAAAUUAAUCCAAGAUGGCGGACAGCAAAUUAUUUUAAGUCAAAAUAUUUCAAGAAAUAAUAAAGUCACGCAAAAUCGAUAAAGGAUAUUUACAUAUAUAAUUUUAAAAGUUCUUUAAAAUGAAAUAAUAAAAAAAUAUAUUGCCGUAUCCCUUUAAAAAAUCCAGGAUAUUCCGGCGUGAGAAAACCUAUGGUAUGGUAAUGGUAACUUUUGCUGUUGAGGUUCGCCAUAGAUUGUAGAAAAGUUUGACGAGCAUAUGUUCAUCGUUUUUGUGGGUAAGAUGCUGAAACUUUUUACUAUUUAACUGGCCCACAAAUAGUAAACAGAAAUCCCCCGUACCCGUUUGUCUUUUACGUGUAGACCGCGGGGAAACGGGUAGAAAUUACGGGUGAAAAUGCUAACAUCAGCAAAAAUUGGUAAACAAAAUGGCGAUACUCGUACCCGUAAACCGGGGUAUCGUAUCCCUCUCUAUUGUCUAUUGAAGGUUCGGGCCUCUUUUCAGGUUAGAAAUGAUGCCAUAUGGUUUAAAAAGUAAUGGUCGAAGAGAAUCUGGCAAUUAUAGUUUCAAUAUUUUUCAUGCUCGCUUGCAUGAAAAAGUACGUUUGAAAUUGGAACUUUUUGAGAGACUUUCCAGCCUUGCAUGUCUAUUGAUGUUGGACUGCGAAGUCCUUUCCAAUAAUUCAAGCAGGCUUUUAGCCAGAAGGGCGUCCAGGCGUCCUGGGACGCUCUUGGAACAAAAAGUGGACGCCUUUGGACGCCCAAAUUAUGGGGCAAAAGGGAAAUUAUUUUCAAUGAUUCCCUAAGUAUAUUAACAUAUCCGAAACGAAAUAACUUCAAUUCUCAUUAUUAUUAUACAUACAGUAAAAUGCUCCAUACGGUGUACUAUAGUUUAUUAGGUAUCUGAGUUUUCACUGCGCAUCCAAAUGACGCAGAGCGCGUUGGGAUAUAUUGCGGUUGAACUAUAACAUGCAUGUAGUCAGGACUGGAACAAUUAGAAUAUGCGUAUUAAAGUAUUCAACUGUUUAAUUAUUAUUUGAAUGCAAAAAGUUGCUCAAACAUUCCUUUUGUUUAUGUAAGCCAAUUACGUCUGUUAUUGUCAUAAUCUACCAGUCACAGAACAUCUUCCUAGAGCUUCGUGUUUACUGCGUUCGCAAGGUAAAUUUCAGUAAGGUUGACGUAGACAUUUUCUCACGCAACAGCAUAGUUCAAGUGCUCAACUGCAAUUUGUUUCCAGCGCAGAAUGCGUCAUGUAGAUGCGCAGAAACUUUGAUUUCGUCUAUAUAGACACAAUCUUGUAUAUAAACAUUGAAAUACUGUACAAACAACAAGAUCAGAAAAAAACCCAGGCAAAUUCUGUACUGUAUUAUAUUAAUUAAUAAUAUAUUGUGUAGAUAAAAAAUAAUCAAAAAUUUUAUUGGAUGAGCAGUAAUGCAUUGACGUUAUUGCAAUGAUACAAUGAGUAGAGAACUAAUCAAAAUGACACUCUUUACAACAUAUAAUGUGCAAAAUUUGUCUCUUGUUGCAUUUGAAAUCUAUACUUAUUUGAUAAAAUAAAAUUAUUCCGAUUAUGAUUAUUUUAAAACGCAAUGGAACAUACUUGGUUAAAGAUUCUUUUAAACUUUAUACUUCACCAAUCAUUUUACAUGAAUUGUAUUACUGCGAUUUUUACUCAGCUUAAUUUUGGACGAUCUGUUCUAAAAGUGCACACGAGUGGACCACGAAUGACCUCAGAUCGACCACGAGUGAUAUAAGGGACCGGUCAUAAAGACUAAGACUAAGUAACUGCUAGGUUGGGCUGGAGUGAUUUGGGAUGUGCAGUUUCGAUGGGCCACCAAACAAAAACCCAUGUUAAUUAUAUAUUAUAUAAAGAUAUUAAUAAUAAAAGUAUUAAAGUAAACAAAACUAUCCAAAUUAUCAAAUGCAAAUGAUGCUUUUGAAGCCAGUACUUUGUUUUAUACAACAACAAGAAGUGGUCGAAUCACAGCUAAUACAACCAAAUGGAGAACAGCUCAGUAUCGUAAUUGGUGAAUGCAUGUGUUGGUCAAACUUGCUGGAAUUAUGUAUCUCAAUACAGUGCCGGUGUAUUUUUACAAUGUUCAUUUUAUUAUAAAAGUGUAUUUUCCCAAUUUAGAUUGGGUUGGUGGUUGGGUUUUUUUCCAAUUUAUGCGUGAAACAAACAAUAACAGUAUAUUAAACGAGCAUCCGCAGCAAAUUCACCAAAACUGUGAACAAAGGUUUAGCUAGAGUGAUUACUGGAGCCAGUUAUGAUAUUAGGUCCACUGAUGUUUUGGAUGCUCUCGGUUAGCAAACACUUGAUGUGAAACGAUACAGACCUAUGCUUACCUAAGUCUAACAGUGAAUUUUUAAAGAAAACUUUUCGAUGUGUUUCACUGUAGUUAUUAUAUAAUUAACUUUACCAUUGUUUUACUGUAGUUAUUUUAUAAAACAAUUACCGAAUGAAGAUCUGGGAUGAAGAUCCGGCCUUACAGAUCGAAAGCUUUGCAGUAAUAAAUUUACGUGGUGUUUCCACAAACAAUAAUAUUAUACGUUUUUUCGCCAUGCAAACCUAUACAAAGAACUAAUUACCGAAUGUUUUUUUCGUGGAGGAUAGCGUGCUCCAUGCACUUGGGGGUGUUUCUCGGCUUUUGGAAAGCAUAAAACGCUUUCCGAAUGUCUCGAAACAUCCCGCGUGCAUGGUCACGCAAUCCUGCACGGAAAACCAUUCGGUAUUCCUUUAAGAAUGGGUUUACAUUUUAUGCCGAAUGUUAUUCCCGCUAAUCACUUGUAGUCCAUAUGUGGUCACUCGUGUGUACUUUUAGAACACAUCCUUUGAUUUGAUAUAGCAUUGAAGUGGAAGAUGUUAUACCUAAAAAAGGUAUUUUUAAAACUGUUGCUAACAAAUUCAAUCUAAGCAAACACCUCUGAUAUAGCAAUAUAUACCUUCACAUUCAGGUAAUUUUUCAACAACCCGUGUAACGCCUGACAACACCUAGACAACAUUCAAAUGUCUCGAUUGAGUUUAAACAACAUUGUGUUACCGCCUUGAUAACAUAUAUCUUGUGACGGCAAAACAAUUGGCGUUCCAAGGUCAAGUGAAACAUUUAAUUAUGUUUUUUGGAUCUGCCGAUAUAUCAAAUUUAACAUAGGGGCACCAUUUAUCCUUAUGUAAACAAUCCCAGUAAUUCAGUUUGUAAUGCAAAU
rnacentral:lncRNA from 1 species